AUGACCGGAAUGUGGGAAUGCCCUGACUUCUACCCCGUGGCGGUGGCCGGAGGCAACCAUCACCACCAGAGUGGUGUGGACACCACGGAGUUGCACGACCGAGUUGUGGCCGAGGAGGUCAAGUACGUGCUCAAGGAUAAUAAAUCAACUUGGCCAUGUAUUGCACAUUGGACCAUUGGACUCCUUCUCCAGAUUCGAGCAGGAGCAGGAGUGGGAUAUGAUGACUAUGGUGACUUCUACGCCUCCAAGUCCUUCGACCCGGCCAAGAACGCCGAGUGCUCUGGGGCUGGGCCAAUGAGUCUGACACCGUUACCGACGACCGCCACAAGAACUGGGCCAGCAUCCAGGCGAUACCAAGGAAGAUCUUCUUGUCGUGAAGCGGGAGGCAGCUGA
rnacentral:rRNA from 1 species